rnacentral:rRNA from 1 species
UCCGUAGGGUGAACCUGCGGAGGGAUCAUUACUGAGUUUACGCUCUAUAACCCUUUGUGAACAUACCUAUAACUGUUGCUUCGGCGGGUAGGGUCUCCGUGACCCUCCCGGCCUCCCGCCCCCGGGCGGGUCGGCGCCCGCCGGAGGAUAACCAAACUCUGAUUUAACGACGUUUCUUCUGAGUGGUACAAGCAAAUAAUCAAAACUUUUAACAACGGAUCUCUUGGUUCUGGCAUCGAUGAAGAACGCAGCGAAAUGCGAUAAGUAAUGUGAAUUGCAGAAUUCAGUGAAUCAUCGAAUCUUUGAACGCACAUUGCGCCCGCCAGCAUUCUGGCGGGCAUGCCUGUUCGAGCGUCAUUUCAACCCUCAAGCUCUGCUUGGUGUUGGGGCCCUACAGCUGAUGUAGGCCCUCAAAGGUAGUGGCGGACCCUCCCGGAGCCUCCUUUGCGUAGUAACUUUACGUCUCGCACUGGGAUCCGGAGGGACUCUUGCCGUAAAACCCCCUAUUCCAAAG